GGCCGAAAUAGCUCAGCCGGUAGAGCACUUCACUCGUAAUGAAGGGGUCGUCAGUUCGAAUCUGAUUUUCGGCUU
rnacentral:tRNA from 1 species